AGCUAACGUUGGCGGCGUGCCUAACACAUGCAAGUCGAACGCGUUCCGGGGGCAACUCCGGGACGAGUGGCGGACGGGUGAGUAACACGUGGGUCAUCUUCCCUCGAGUGGGGAAUAAGCCUCCGAAAGGGGGUCUAAUACCGCAUAAGGCCCGGGCUCAUAAGAGUUCCGGGUUAAAGCCGCAAGGCGCUUGAGGAUGAGCCUGCGUCCUAUUAGCUAGUUGGUAGGGUAACGGCCUACCAAGGCGAAGAUGGGGUAGCCGGCCUGAGAGGGUGAACGGCCACACUGGGACUGGGACACGGCCCAGACUCCUACGGGAGGCAG
rnacentral:rRNA from 1 species